AGCUUGUUGUUUGUUUUAUAAUAAGUAUUUUCUGCCCGGUGUUUUUAGAAAUAAACGGCCGCGGUACUCUGACCGUGCAAAGGUAGCAUAAUCACUUGCCCUUUAAUUGUGGGCUGGGAUGAAGGGAAGGAUCGUGGGUUUGGCUGUCUCCUUUUUGUUUUUUGAACUUGCUGUCUGUGUGAAGAAGCAUUGUUGGUGGAAAGGGACGAGAAGACCCUAUUAAGCUUUACCUCUGCGGUGGUUCUGGUCUUUCACGUAUUUAGACCUGCUCUGUAGGGGGUUUGGUUGGGGUGACCGGAGAAGAUGUAGAUCUUCUCUUUUGUUUUUACUUUCUGUUUAAUUUCGAUCCAAGAUUUUUUGAUUUAAGGAACUAGUUACUAUAGGGGUAACAGCGUAAUUUUUUCAUAAAGUCCUUAUUGAAGAAAAAGAUUGCGACCUCGAUGUUGACUUGUUGUAUCCUCUUUUGGGUGCAGGUGCCGGGAGGGUUGGUCUGUUCGACCAUUAAAAUGAC
rnacentral:rRNA from 1 species